UUUAACAGGUGGAAAUUGAGAGAAACUCUUCCAGCUGAUGCCCAUAAAAAGGUUAAAUUGAUGUGCUCUUAUUGCAAGAAUCAUGGUGAUACUGAAGUCCCUGACCCUUACUAUGGUGGACCUCAAGGUUUUGAGAAGGUUUUGGACUUACUUGAAGAUGCUUGCCAAUCAUUGUUGGAAACCAUCUUGGCAGAUCAUGGCGAUGUUUAAAUACUUAAUUUGUGCAUGAGGUCAUGGUGGUCGAAUUAUAGACUCAAGCUGUUGGGGUAAAAUACCAAUUUUUCUGCUGGCCAGGGUCUUAUAUAUGAGAUGCCCAGUCAUCCGUCAGCCGUAAGCAAUCGGCUUUAAAUGUAUACAGUAUUUGGAGGUGUCGGCAAGUCUUGCUCUGUCCGAAUGUUGGAUCCUUCCGACCUUCCAGAUGACAAACCGAAAAAUUCGUAUAUAUGUAUAUAUGUAUAUGUACUUGAUGUAUAAUGGGUGGGACUUAGAUUACAUGGAAUGGACUUACUUGAAUGAUCUCACAACGGCGAGGAUGAUUAGGUUAUCACGUAUGGGUCUCAAGGGAGUGACAAUUCUUUUAUGACUCAUUUUUGCCUAGAUGUACAGUACGGCGAGAUGGACAGCCUUCAUAUCCAGAAUCUAAGGCUACGAUUGGAAUCAUAAAACUUUGUAUAAUUUUUUUGGCAA